rnacentral:rRNA from 1 species
UGGGGAAUAUUGCACAAUGGGCGCAAGCCUGAUGCAGCCAUGCCGCGUGUGUGAAGAAGGCCUUCGGGUUGUAAAGCACUUUCAGCGAGGAGGAAGGUGGUGAACUUAAUACGUUCAUCAAUUGACGUUACUCGCAGAAGAAGCACCGGCUAACUCCGUGCCAGCAGCCGCGGUAAUACGGAGGGUGCAAGCGUUAAUCGGAAUUACUGGGCGUAAAGCGCACGCAGGCGGUUUGUUAAGUCAGAUGUGAAAUCCCCGGGCUCAACCUGGGAACUGCAUUUGAAACUGGCAAGCUAGAGUCUCGUAGAGGGGGGUAGAAUUCCAGGUGUAGCGGUGAAAUGCGUAGAGAUCUGGAGGAAUACCGGUGGCGAAGGCGGCCCCCUGGACGAAGACUGACGCUCAGGUGCGAAAGCGUGGGGCAGCAAACAGGAUUAGAUACCCUGGUAGUCCACGCUGUAAACGAUGUCGAUUUGGAGGUUGUGCCCUUGAGGCGUGGNUUCCGGAGCUAACGCGUUAAAUCG